rnacentral:rRNA from 1 species
GACGAACGCUGGCGGCGUGCCUAAUACAUGCAAGUAGGACGCAGUUGCGAACGGGUGAGUAACGCGUAGGUAACUACCUAUUAGAGGGGGGUAACUAUUGGAAACGAUAGCUAAUACCGCAUACUAGUAGAUGGACCUGCGUUGUAUUGGCUAGUAGGUAGGGUAAUGGCUUACCUAGGCAACGAUACAUAGCCGACCUGGGAGGGGGGUCGGCCAAACUGGUACUGAGACAUGGCCCAGAAUCCUACGGGAGGCAGCCGUAGGGAAUCUUCGGCAAUGGGGGGAAUCCUGACCGAGGAACGACGCGGGAGUGAAGAAGGUUUUCGGAUCGGAAAGCUCUGGUGUUAAGGAAGCGGUACUUAACCAGAAAGCGACGGCUAACUACGUGCCAGCAGCCGCGGUAAUUC